GCAGUCGACGAACUCUGGUAUUGAUUGGUGCUUGCAUCAUGAUUUACAUUUGAGUGAGUGGCGAACUGGUGAGUAACACGUGGGAAACCUGCCCAGAAGCGGGGGAUAACACCUGGAAACAGAUGCUAAUACCGCAUAACAACUUGGACCGCAUGGUCCGAGUUUGAAAGAUGGCUUCGGCUAUCACUUUUGGAUGGUCCCGCGGCGUAUUAGCUAGAUGGUGGGGUAACGGCUCACCAUGGCAAUGAUACGUAGCCGACCUGAGAGGGUAAUCGGCCACAUUGGGACUGAGACACGGCCCAAACUCCUACGGGAGGCAGCAGUAGGGAAUCUUCCACAAUGGACGAAAGUCUGAUGGAGCAACGCCGCGUGAGUGAAGAAGGGUUUCGGCUCGUAAAACUCUGUUGUUAAAGAAGAACAUAUCUGAGAGUAACUGUUCAGGUAUUGACGGUAUUUAACCAGAAAGCCACGGCUAACUACGUGCCAGCAGCCGCGGUAAUACGUAGGUGGCAAGCGUUGUCCGGAUUUAUUGGGCGUAAAGCGAGCGCAGGCGGUUUUUUAAGUCUGAUGUGAAAGCCUUCGGCUCAACCGAAGAAGUGCAUCGGAAACUGGGAAACUUGAGUG
rnacentral:rRNA from 2 species